CAGCAGCCGCGGUAAUACGAAGGGGGCUAGCGUUGUUCGGAUUUACUGGGCGUAAAGCGCACGUAGGCGGACUUUUAAGUCAGGGGUGAAAUCCCGGGGCUCAACCCCGGAACUGCCUUUGAUACUGGAAGUCUUGAGUAUGGUAGAGGUGAGUGGAAUUCCGAGUGUAGAGGUGAAAUUUGUAGAUAUUCGGAGGAACACCAGUGGCGAAGGCGGCUCACUGGACCAUUACUGACGCUGAGGUGCGAAAGCGUGGGGAGCAAACAGGAUUAGAUACCCCCGUAGUCCCUGUCUCUUAUAC
rnacentral:rRNA from 1 species